rnacentral:rRNA from 1 species
GCCAGACUCCUACGGGAGGCAGCAGUGGGGGAUAUUGCACAAUGGGGGGAACCCUGAUGCAGCGACGCCGCGUGGGUGAAGAAGCGCCUCGGCGCGUAAAGCCCUGUCAGCAGGGAAGAAAAUGACGGUACCUGAAGAAGAAGCCCCGGCUAACUACGUGCCAGCAGCCGCGGUAAUACGGAGGAUGCGAGCGUUAUCCGGAUUUAUUGGGUUUAAAGGGGGCGCAGGCGGCGCGGCAAGCCGGCGGUCAAAUCGCGGGGCGCACCCCCGCCCAGCCGUCGGAACUGCCGGGCUAGAGUGGGCGAGAAGGGCGCGGAAUGCGUGGUGUAGCGGUGAAAUGCAUAGAUAUCACGCAGAACUCCGAUUGCGAAGGCAGCGCACCGGCGCCCUACUGACGCUCAGGCACGAAAGCGUGGGGAUCGAACAGGAUUAGAUACCCCUGUAAAG